rnacentral:rRNA from 1 species
AGCGAACGCUGGCGGUAGGCUUAACACAUGCAAGUCGAACGGCAGCACAGUAAGAGCUUGCUCUUACGGGUGGCGAGUGGCGGACGGGAGAGGAAAAUAACGGAAUCUACAUUUUCGUGGGGGUUAACGUAGGGGAACCUACGAUAAUACCGCAUACGACCUACGGGUGAAAGCAGGGGAACUUCGGACCUUGUGCGAAUGAAUGCGCGGAUGUCGGAUUAGUUGGUUGGGGGGGUAAAGGCCAACCAAGGCGACGGUCCGUAGCUGGUCUGAGUGGAUGAUCAGCCACACUGGAACUGAGACACGGUCCAGACUCCUACGGGAGGCAGCAGUGGGGAAUAUUGGACAAUGGGCGCAAGCCUGAUCCAGCCAUACCGCGUGGGUGAAGAAGGCCUUCGGGUUGUAAAGCCCUUUUGUUGGGAAAGAAAAGCAGCAGGUUAAUACCCCGCUGUUCUGACGGUACCCAAAGAAUAAGCACCGGCUAACUUCGUG